GUGGGGAAUAUUGGACAAUGGGCGAAAGCCUGAUCCAGCCAUGCCGCGUGUGUGAAGAAGGUCUUCGGAUUGUAAAGCACUUUAAGUUGGGAGGAAGGGCAGUAAGUUAAUACCUUGCUGUUUUGACGUUACCGACAGAAUAAGCACCGGCUAACUUCGUGCCAGCAGCCGCGGUAAUACGAAGGGUGCAAGCGUUAAUCGGAAUUACUGGGCGUAAAGCGCGCGUAGGUGGUUUUGUAAGUUGGAGGUGAAAUCCCCGGGCUCAACCUGGGAACUGCCUCCAAAACUGCAUGACUAGAGUACGGUAGAGGGUAGUGGAAUUUCCUGGGUAGCGGUGAAAUGCGUAGAUAUAGGAAGGAACACCAGUGGCGAAGGCGACUACCUGGACUGAUACUGACACUGAGGUGCGAAAGCGUGGGGAGCAAACAGGAUUAGAAACCCUAGUAGUCC
rnacentral:rRNA from 1 species